rnacentral:ncRNA from 1 species
GGAAGCCGGUGAGAAUCCGGCACGGUCGCGCCACUGUAAGCCCCGUACGCACCCGCCUGGUGCGGCCCGGGGGCAAGUCAGAC